UACAGAGGGGGCAAGCGUUGUUCGGAAUUACUGGGCGUAAAGGGCGCGUAGGCGGCCUUCUAAGUCGGACGUGAAAUCCCCGGGCUCAACCCGGGAACUGCGUCCGAGACUGAAAGGCUUGAAUCCGGGAGAGGGAUGUGGAAUUCCAGGUGUAGCGGUGAAAUGCGUAGAUAUCUGGAGGAACAUCGGUGGCGAAGGCGGCAUCCUGGACCGGUAUUGACGCUGAGGCGCGAAAGCCAGGGGAGCAAACGGG
rnacentral:rRNA from 1 species